rnacentral:rRNA from 1 species
UACGAAGGGGGGCUAGCGUUGCUCGGAAUCACUGGGCGUAAAGGGCGCGUAGGCGGCCAUUCAAGUCAGAGGUGAAAGCCCAAGGCUCAACCUUGGAAUUGCCUUUGAUACUGUUUGGCUUGAGACCGGAAGAGGUAAGUGGAACUGCGAGUGUAGAGGUGAAAUUCGUAGAUAUUCGCAAGAACACCAGUGGCGAAGGCGGCUUACUGGUCCGGUUCUGACGCUGAGGCGCGAAAGCGUGGGGAGCAAACAGG